AACGAACGCUGGCGGCAUGCCUAACACAUGCAAGUCGAACGGGAUCCUGGCUUCGGCCAGGUGAGAGUGGCGGACGGGUGAGUAACGCGUGGGAACCUGCCCAUUGGUCUGGGAUAACUGCGGGAAACUGCAGCUAAUACCGGAUGUACCCGAGAGGGGAAAGAUUUAUCGCCGAUGGAGGGGCCCGCGUCAGAUUAGGUAGUUGGUGAGGUAACGGCUCACCAAGCCUACGAUCUGUAGCUGGUCUGAGAGGAUGAUCAGCCACACUGGGACUGAGAUACGGCCCAGACUCCUACGGGAGGCAGCAGUGGGGGAAUAUUGGACAAUGGGGGGCAACCCUGAUCCAGCAAUGCCGCGUGAGUGAUGAAGGCCUUAGGGUUGUAAAGCUCUUUUACCAGGGACGAUGAUGACGGUACCUGGAGAAUAAGUCCCGGCUAACUUCGUGCCAGCAGCCGCGGUAAU
rnacentral:rRNA from 1 species